UUCACGCAGUACGUUCUGUCCGUAUCUUUCCGUAAUAAAAGAUGACGUACACUCUACUAAAAAAAUUAAGGUGGGAAAGAUGCCUAUUAUACACUGCUCAAAAGAACUAAUUUAACUUAUAUUUCAGAAAGUUAUAAUCUUAUGUUGGUUCCUUGCUAGCCUUUGCAUCGUUUACGUAUUAUUUGUAAUAGUAAUUUACAAGCGACACGUAUCCAUUCUAGUUUCUGCUAUUUAUGUAGCACUACACAGAAUAUUUUGGGCAAUAGGUAUAACAGGGAUUGUGAUAGCGUGCUCCACUAAACACGGAGGUAUUGUUAAUCGGUUCCUGUCAUUAAAAACAUGGAUCCCUCUUAGCAGACUCACGUACUGCGCUUUUCUUUUAAAUCCGAUUAUCAUACAAUCGAUUCAAUUAUACAGUGAGACGCCAAUGCAUUUUGAAUGUCUGUCUUUAGUUGUUAUGGCUGCGGGAUAUAUUACAAUCAUUUUUCCUUGCUCUUACGUGUUGUCUGUGAUGGUGGAGAUACCAUGUAUUUCAUUAAUUAAUGAGCUUACUGUUGGGGAUUAUCAAUCGGCGCCCUGUUGGAUAAUCUCCUCACACAAUAAUCGGGCGCGUUCAAGUCAACAGUUUUAGGUAUAUAUCCUUUAGGCAUAUUGCUUAUCUUUUGUGUACCUAUGUUUUUCUUCCCACGAGAGCUGCAUUCUCAGCUACUUUCUUUUAGGUUUUUGUACGCUAAAAUAAGGGCUCAGUUCUUUUGAUCUACGUUUGAGUGUUCUCUCCGUAC